GGAAAUGCGAAAGCAGGUUCAAAAAUGGAUAAAAAAUUUUAUAGUUUCAGUAUGUGAUGAAUCUUGUUUUAAAUUUUCAAGAGGAAACAUAAGUAACGGCCAUCUCAACAUUGCUCACAGGCGGACACCACCGCAGGGAAGAGAAUCGAGUGACUACUACAUAGCAUUUAUUUUUUCUUGCGAGGUACCUAUACAAAAAAAUUAUAAAACAAUAAAAAUCUAUGUCGGUAGUUAAAACGUAUUACGCUUCAGGCGAGUAAUAAAGAACGAAAAAGAAAAAAAUAAAACGUCGGCCAGUUGUCAAUUACGAUUCAUAUAAAGUGAAGGAAAAGUGAUCGCAACACGUUAUAUAUAAUUACAGUAAUAAAGAUUCAUAAAUAUAAAAUUCAGCAAGUUGAAAAAAUAAAAGUUUAAUAGUGAUUAUUUCUGGAUAUAUAUUACAUAUGCACUACAUUAAAAUAAUAAUGACAUAAUAUUAAAUAUUGAUUAUUUAUCACGAUAGAGUUGUUACUCAAUAUUAUUCCAUUUAUUAUUUUAAUAUAUUAGUGUCCAAUGUCCAUACAUAGUUGGAAUUAAUAAAUUAAAUCUAUGGUUUUUACGCUAUAUAUGUAUUUAAAUAAUUAGUCUAACAUAAAACUAUUGUAGGUAUUUUUGUUGUGAAAUAUAAAUCUACACGAUAAAAUCAAGUCUUUUAAUUUUUUACUGUUAUACACCUAUACCUGAUAGUCCUAGGGUUUUAGUACCACUUUUGUUAGGGAAGAUGUCAAAUAUCUUGACAUUUUCAGAUUUUUAUAGGGAUAAUAUUUUAUUUGUAUCUUAACACUGUAUUUGGUGUGAAAACGAUACAUAUUUACGUGUUCUUAUAGUAACAAUAUAUGCAUCUUUAUUUUAUUUAUUUCGAAAAGGGAACAUAGUAAGUUACACAAAAUAAGUUUUGUGUUUCUCUUGUAAAAUUCCAAUGUCGACGUACAUAUUAUAUAUUAUAAUAUAUUAAAAUAAUUGUUUAAAGCGUAUAGUUAAGCAAU